rnacentral:rRNA from 1 species
UUCCGGUUGAUCCCGCCGGACCUGACUGCUAUCGGAUUGAUACUAAGCCAUGCGAGUCUUUGCAGUAAUGCAAGGCAUACGGCUCAGUAACACGUAGUCAACUUACCCUAUGGACGAGGAUAAUCUCGGGAAACUGAGCAUAAUACUCGAUAGAUCAUAAUGCCUGGAAUGGUUCAUGGUUGAAAUGAUUCGUCGCCAUAGGAUGGGACUGCGGCCUAUCAGCUUGUUGGUGAGGUAAUGGCCCACCAAGGCGAUUACAGGUACGGGCUCUGAGAGGAGAAGCCCGGAGAUGGGUACUGAGACAAGGACCCAGGCCCUAUGGGGCGCAGCAGGCGAGAAAACUUUGCAAUGUGCGAAAGCACGACAAGGUUAAUCCGAGUGAUUUCUGCUAAAGAAAUCUUUUGCAAGUCAUAAAACCACUAGUGAAUAAGGGGUGGGCAAGUUCUGGUGUCAGCCGCCGCGGUAAAACCAGCACCUCAAGUGGUCAGGAGGAUUAUUGGGCCUAAAGCAUCCGUAGCCGGCUCUGUAAGUUUUCGGUUAAAUCCAUGUGCUCAACGCAUGGGCCGCCGAAAAUACUGCAUAGCUAGGGAGUGGGAGAGGUAGACGGUACUCGGUAGGAAGGGGUAAAAUCCUUUGAUCUAUCGAUGACCACCUGUGGCGAAGGCGGUCUACCAGAACACGUUCGACGGUGAGGGAUGAAAGCUGGGGGAGCAAACCGGAUUAGAUACCCGGGUAGUCCCAGCUGUAAACGAUGCAGACUCGAUGAUGCAUUGGCAUAUAGCCAGUGCAGUGUCGCAGGGAAGCCGUUAAGUCUGCCGCCUGGGAAGUACGUACGCAAGUAUGAAACUUAAAGGAAUUGGCGGGGGAGCACCACAAGGGGUGAAGCCUGCGGUUCAAUUGGAAUCAACGCCGGA